CCCCCCACAGCCCGACCCGCCCUGGGCAGAGUGUGCUCACCAGCCACACAGGCUUCCCUCCCCCAGGCCCAGGUGCACUGGGGGGCUUUAGUUACCCAGCUAACUAAAUGAAAUAGAUGAGAGGAGACGAAGGAGAGCAUUUCUGAUGAGCUUUAAUUCUGCUCCUGCAAUCUGCAUUGUGCUGUCCUUCCAUCUGCCACCCCCUUAUCUUCUCUGCACCCCUCUUCCUCCCCGCUUCCUUCGGCCCUGCCUCUGGUGACACCCACCCCCAUCCUUCAUGCAGCCCUGCUUACAGGCGUCCUGCACCCCCCACCCACGGCAGGCAGCUCCGGUUUACACACUUGCCAGUGGUGGUGGGGAUGCGUGUGGGACUGAGCUGCUCGGGGCCAAGCUCCAUGCCUUCCCACAGCGCGAGCUACCCCGGGCCAGCCACAGUGCCAGGUGAGUCAGAGACGUGGUUUAACCUCACCACAUCUCUGUGAGGUAGGUAUUAUUUUUAUUUUACAGACCAGAGGCUCCCGUCUCCACCCAAGGAAAAGCUUAAAUGAUGAGCCUGAGGUCACUCUGCUGAUGAGGGGUCACUAGGUCUCCUUCUAAAGCCCAGGCUCUCGACGCCUACCGCAGGCGGCUCACCUGUGCGGCCUGGCGCCAGCUGGGCACCGAUCACUCUGUGAUUGCAGCAGGGACGGUGGGUGGCGCCUGCUGAAAACAUGGCUUCCAUUUUCCUCUGCAAACAGUGCAAGCAGUUCCCCAAGUGAGGUUUGUUAUCAUUUCCUAGUAGGGAGGGAAAAAAGAUGCCAAAAUCCUGGUGACAUUAACAGCACUUAAGGUCCCAGGGAGGGAAAGAGUGGAGUCUGUUAGGUGAACAGAGGUGACGCGAGGGAAGGAACCUCCAGGAAGCCACAGACACUAGUGGGGACAAUGUAUCAGAAAGAGAAUAAGGCGCGGAGAGUCCAAGAAACUGUGUUCCAUUUUGGGACUUGCCUGCUGUACAGAGCACGGGUGGUGCAGGAAGGUGAGAACAUGACUGAACCGGCUAAAUCCAGCCAUCUGAGAGGCAAAAGGCAAAGAAACAAAACAAACCAGAAGUCAGGUACCAGGAAGGUGCACUGCCAGCAAGAACCCGGCCAGAGGCAGCCUGCACCCCAGGCCCCAGCCCAGGGCCCUGGAAGUCCUCAGAGAUGCCCUUACCUACGAGAAGGCUCCUGGGCUCACUGCCCGUCAGUCUCAGGCGGGAGCCAAAGUACAAAG